GUAAAUUUAGUGUAGUUAUGCAUAAAAAAUUUUCUUUUUUUUGGUGGCUUUUGAGAUAUAGCUGAUUUAUA
rnacentral:tRNA from 1 species